UGGAGCCUAUUUAAGAUGCUAAGCAUUUCUUCCAGAACAUUUCCACUCAGUUAUGAAUGCCUCCUCCCUCCCUCUCUGGAAAUGCUGUGAUAUCCUUAUUCAGAAAUACUGGAUGGAUGGAAUGAGAGAGAAAAAAAAAAGAAAAGAAAACCAGCACUUGGCAGUUUUACAUUUCCCCUCCAUACUUCUAAAUGCACAACGGAUCCGGGGAAUGACGCAAAUGUAAAUGUGGCUAUAAAAAGUUACAAUUAUGAA